rnacentral:rRNA from 1 species
AUACGCAUCCUUUGCUGAGGAGACGGUUAACGGAGCGAAAGCGACGUUCAACCUCAAAAGAAGCAGAGGGGGCUUAGUGGUGGGGUGACUGCGUACCUUUUGUAUAAUGGGUCAGCGACUUAUAUUCUGUAGCAAGGUUAACUGUAUAGGGGAGCCGGAGGGAAACCGAGUCUUAACCGGGCGUUAAGUUGCAGGGUAUAGACCCGAAACCCGGUGAUCUAGCCAUGGGCAGGUUGAAGGUUGGGUAACACUAACUGGAGGACCGAACCGACUAAUGUUGAAAAAUUAGCGGAUGACCUGUGGCUGGGGGUGAAAGGCCAAUCAAACCGGGAGAUAGCUGGUUCUCCCCGAAAGCUAUUUAGGUAGCGCCUCGUGAAUUCAUCUCCGGGGGUAGAGCACUGUUUCGGCUAGGGGGCCAUCCCGGCUUACCAACCCGAUGCAAACUGCGAAUACCGGAGAAUGUUAUCACGGGAGACACACGGCGGGUGCUAAUGUCCGUCGUGAAGAGGGAAACAACCCAGACCGCCAGCUAAGGUCCCAAAGUCAUGGUUAAGUGGGAAACGAUGUGGGAAGGCCCAGACAGCCAGGAUGUUGGCUUAGAAGCAGCCAUCAUUUAAAGAAAGCGUAAUAGCUCACUGGUCGAGUCGGCCUGCGCGGAAGAUGUAACGGGGCUAAACCAUGCACCGAAGCUGCGGCAGCGACACCGUGUGUUGUUGGGUAGGGGAGCGUUCUGUAAGCCUGUGAAGGUGUGCUGUGAGGCAUGCUGGAGGUAUCAGAAGUGCGAAUGCUGACAUAAGUAACGAUAAAGCGGGUGAAAAGCCCGCUCGCCGGAAGACCAAGGGUUCCUGUCCAACGUUAAUCGGGGCAGGGUGAGUCGACCCCUAAGGCGAGGCCGAAAGGCGUAGUCGAUGGGAAACGGGUUAAUAUUCCCGUACUUGGUGUUACUGCGAAGGGGGGACGGAGAAGGCUAUGUUGGCCGGGCGACGGUUGUCCCGGUUUAAGCGUGUAGGUAUGUGUUCCAGGUAAAUCCGGUUCACUUUAACACUGAGGCGUGACGACGAGGCACUACGGUGCUGAAGCAACAAAUGCCCUGCUUCCAGGAAAAGCCUCUAAGCAUCAGGUAACAUCAAAUCGUACCCCAAACCGACACAGGUGGUCAGGUAGAGAAUACCAAGGCGCUUGAGAGAACUCGGGUGAAGGAACUAGGCAAAAUGGUGCCGUAACUUCGGGAGAAGGCACGCUGACACGUAGGUGAAGUGAUUUACUCACGGAGCUGAAGUCAGCCGAAGAUACCAGCUGGCUGCAACUGUUUAUUAAAAACACAGCACUGUGCAAACACGAAAGUGGACGUAUACGGUGUGACGCCUGCCCGGUGCCGGAAGGUUAAUUGAUGGGGUCAGCGCAAGCGAAGCUCCUGAUCGAAGCCCCGGUAAACGGCGGCCGUAACUAUAACGGUCCUAAGGUAGCGAAAUUCCUUGUCGGGUAAGUUCCGACCUGCACGAAUGGCGUAAUGAUGGCCAGGCUGUCUCCACCCGAGACUCAGUGAAAUUGAACUCGCUGUGAAGAUGCAGUGUACCCGCGGCAAGACGGAAAGACCCCGUGAACCUUUACUAUAGCUUGACACUGAACAUUGAGCCUUGAUGUGUAGGAUAGGUGGGAGGCUUUGAAGUGUGGACGCCAGUCUGCAUGGAGCCGACCUUGAAAUACCACCCUUUAAUGUUUGAUGUUCUAACGUGGACCCGUGAUCCGGGUUGCGGACAGUGUCUGGUGGGUAGUUUGACUGGGGCGGUCUCCUCCUAAAGAGUAACGGAGGAGCACGAAGGUUGGCUAAUCCUGGUCGGACAUCAGGAGGUUAGUGCAAUGGCAUAAGCCAGCUUGACUGCGAGCGUGACGGCGCGAGCAGGUGCGAAAGCAGGUCAUAGUGAUCCGGUGGUUCUGAAUGGAAGGGCCAUCGCUCAACGGAUAAAAGGUACUCCGGGGAUAACAGGCUGAUACCGCCCAAGAGUUCAUAUCGACGGCGGUGUUUGGCACCUCGAUGUCGGCUCAUCACAUCCUGGGGCUGAAGUAGGUCCCAAGGGUAUGGCUGUUCGCCAUUUAAAGUGGUACGCGAGCUGGGUUUAGAACGUCGUGAGACAGUUCGGUCCCUAUCUGCCGUGGGCGCUGGAGAACUGAGGGGGGCUGCUCCUAGUACGAGAGGACCGGAGUGGACGCAUCACUGGUGUUCGGGUUGUCAUGCCAAUGGCACUGCCCGGUAGCUAAAUGCGGAAGAGAUAAGUGCUGAAAGCAUCUAAGCACGAAACUUACCCCGAGAUGAGUUCUCCCUGAGACUUUAGGUCUCCUGAAGGAACGUUGAAGACGACGACGUUGAUAGGCCGGGUGUGUAAGCGCAGCGAUGCGUUGAGCUAACCG